AGAGUUUGAUCCUGGCUCAGGAUGAACGCUAGCUACAGGCUUAACACAUGCAAGUCGAGGGGCAGCAUGUUGGUUGCUUGCAACCAAUGAUGGCGACCGGCGCACGGGUGAGUAACGCGUAUCCAACCUACCCUUGUCCAUCGGAUAACCCGUCGAAAGGCGGCCUAACACGAUAUGCGGUCCACAGCAGGCAUCUAAGGUGAACGAAAUGUGAAGGAGAAGGAUGGGGAUGCGUCUGAUUAGCUUGUUGGCGGGUAACGGCCACAAGGCUACGAUCAGUAGGGGUUCUGAGAGGAAGGUCCCCCANAUUGGAACUGAGACACGGUCCAAACUCAUACGGGAGGCA
rnacentral:rRNA from 1 species